AGGUAAUACAUAUAAUAUUCCAAUAUGCCUAUGGCUACUGGACACAUACCCAUAUAAUCCCCCUAUCUGUUUUGUUAAGCCUACUAGUUCAAUGACUAUUAAAACAGGAAAGCAUGUUGAUGCAAAUGGGAAGAUAUAUCUUCCUUAUCUACAUGAAUGGAAACACCCACAGUCAGACUUGUUGGGGCUUAUUCAGGUCAUGAUUGUGGUAUUUGGAGAUGAACCUCCAGUCUUCUCUCGUCCUAUUUCGGCAUCCUAUCCGCCAUACCAGGCAACGGGGCCACCAAAUACUUCCUACAUGCCAGGCAUGCCAGGUGGAAUCUCUCCAUACCCAUCCGGAUACCCUCCCAAUCCCAGUGGUUACCCAGGCUGUCCUUACCCACCUGGUGGUCCAUAUCCUGCCACAACAAGUUCUCAGUACCCUUCUCAGCCUCCUGUGACCACUGUUGGAGCUGCUGCUACCGUCGCUGCAGCCACGGCAGGCACUGCCACCGCUGCCAGAGGAGUGGGCUUGGGAAGGAAGUGGUCACCUCACUUGGAGCUUUGCUCAGAAGCAUCCUCGUCCCCUGCAGCCCUCCCACGGGAAUGACUGGAUAAAAGUGAGCUGGUACAGAAAGCCAACUCACUGAGCAGGCUGAGCGCUAUGAUGAUAUGGCUGUAGUCACGAAGGCAGUCACAGAACGAGGCAUGAAUUCUCCAACGAAGAGAGAAAUC
rnacentral:sRNA from 1 species